GUGCGUGGCGUGUCCGCUGGACCAGGGGACGGGGGCGCGCCGCAGGUGUAGGAGCUUUGCGCGCCUACCUGGCGGUCGUGGGUCGAGGAGGGGUCAAGAAUUGUUGUCUAGCAGCCCUCUCCCCGCUGCCCUGUCCUGGCCGAGGCAAAGGCCGCGUGCGCUCCGCGUCUGCCAGGCUUUAGGGCUGCGCGGACACUGGGUGGGUGGUGGGCCGAGGCGACCGGAAGGUCCUGGCCGCCUUUCCGGUCUCCUCAGCACCCUGGAGCGCCGCCCUCGGGUUUCGGUCUCCUGGAUCUGCGGGUCGGUCUCGGCGGGCGGAUUACUCCUCGCCCACAACCUCGAGGCCCCGGGGUCAACCGCGCCCUCCGGGCCGGCAACCCAGGGUUUAGUCAGAUUCCUCCUGACCCACCGCUUCUGGGAAAGAGGCGCCUCCCGUCAGGAGGAUGCUGAGUUCCUCAUGACUGGACCAGUGAGUGUCCACUCCCUGGUCCCUGGCGAGAGAGGCGGGACCCCCACGCCCUCCUGGCGCUCUUUGCAGAGAUGUUCCUCAGGCCCAAUCCGGGAUUUGGGAUGUCUGUGCGUGCUGUGGAGCAGAGAGUUUGCAACAUGGUCUCACUUUGUCACCCAGGCUGGAAUGCAUUGGCAUGAACACGUCUCACUGCAGCCUCAACCUCCCAGGCUGAAGUGACCCUCCAACUCUGCUUUCACAGUAGCUGUGAUAUGGUUUGGCUGUGUCCCCACCCACAUCUCAUCUUAAAACCCAGUGGGAGGUAAUUGAAUCAUGGGGGCAAGUCUUUCCUGUGCUGUUCUUGUGAUAGUGAAUAAGUCUCAUGAGAUCUGAUGGUUUUUAAAAGAGUUCUGGCUGGGCAUGGUGGUGGGCACCUGUAAUCCAAACUACUAGGGAGGCUGAGGCAGAGUGAAUUGCUUGAACCUGGGAGAAGGAGGUUGCAGUGAGCCGAGAUUGCACCGCUGCACUCCAGCCUGGGCAAAAUUGAAGACUCUGUCUCCAAAAAAAAAAAAAAGGAGUUCCUCUGCAUAAGCUCUCUCUCUUUGCCUGCUGCCAUCCAUGUAAGAUGUGACUUGCUCUUCCUUGCCCUAUGAUUGUGAGUCUUUCCCCAGCCACGUGGAACUGUAAGUCCAAAUAAACCUCUUUCUUUUGUAAAUUGCCCAGUCUUGGGUAUGUCUAUCAGCAGCAUGGAAAUGGACUAAUACAGUAAAUUGGUACCAGUAGAGUGGGGUGUUGCUGAAAAGAUACCUGAAAAUGUGAAAGUGACUUUGGAACUGGGUAGCAGGCAAACAUUGGAACAGUUUGGAGGGCUCAGAAGAAGACAGGAAAAUGUAGGAAAGUUUGGAACUUCCUAGAGACUUGUUGAAUGGCAUUGACAAAAAUGCUAAUAGUGAUACGAACAAUAAGAUCCAGUCUGAGGUGGUCUCAGAUGGAGAUGAGGAACUUGUUGGGAACUGGAGCAAAGGUGACUCUUGUUAUGUUUUAGCAAAGAGACUGGUGACAUUUUGCCCCUGCCCGAGAGAUUUGUGGAACUUUGAACUUGAGGGAGAUGAUUUAGGGUAUCUGGUGGAAGACAUUUCUUUUUUUUUUUUUGUGACGGAGUCUUGCAUUGUCGCCUGGGGUGGAGUGCAAUGGUCUGAUCUCAGCUUACUGGGUUCAAGCAAUUCUGUCUCAGCCUCCCGAGUAGCUGGGAUUACAGGCGUCCGCCACCACGCCCUUCUAAUUUUUUGUAUUUUUAGUAGAGACGGUUUCACUAUGUUGGCCAGUGGAAGACAUUUCUAAGCAGCAAAGCAUUCAAGAGGUGGCUUGGGUGUUGUUAAAGGCAUUCUGUUUUGACUGGGUGCGGUGGUGCACACCUAUAAUCCCAGCACUUUGGGAGGCCGAGGAGGGUGGAUCAAGAGGUCAGGAGUUCAAGACCAGCCUGGCCAAUAUGGUGAAACCCUGUCUCUACUGGAAAUACAAAAAUUAGCUUGGCAUGGUGGUGUGCGCCUGUAGUCCCAGCUUCUCGGGAGGCUGAGGCAGGAGAAUCGCCUGGACCCGGGAGGUGGAGGUUCCAUUGAGCCAAGAUCAUGCCACUGACUCCAGCCUGGGCAACAGACUGAGACUCUGUCUCAAAAAAAAAGAAAAAAAAAAAGGCAUUCAGUUUUAUAAGGGAAGCAGAGCAUAAAAGUUUGGGAAAUUUGCAGCCUGACAAUGUGAUAGUAAAGAAAAUCCCAUUUUCUGAGAGGAAAUUCAAGCUGGCUGCAAAAAUUUGCAUAAGUACCAAGGAGCCGAAUGUUAAUAUCCAAGACAAUGGGGAAAAUAUCUCCCAGACAUGUCAGAGGUCUUCAUGGCAGCCCCUCCCAUCAACAGGUCCAGAGGCCUAGGAGGAAAAAGUGGUUUUGUGGGCAGCACCCAGGGUCCCCAUGCUAUGUGCAGCCUAGGGACUUGGUGCCGUGCGUCUCAGCUCCUCCAGUGGUGACUGAAAGGGGCCAACAUAGAGCUCGGGCUGCUGCUUCAUGGGGUGGAAGUCCCAAAUCUUGGCAGCUUCCAUGUGGUGUUGAGCCUGCGAGUACAUAGAAGUCAAGAAUUGGGGUUUGGGAACCUCCAUCUAGAUUUCAGAAGAUAUAUGGAAAUUCCUGGAUGCCCAGGCAGAAGUUUGCUGUAGGGGUGGGGCCUUCAUGGAGAACCUCUGCUAGAGCAGUGCAGAAGGGAAAUGUGGGGUCGGAGCCCCCACACAGAGUCCCCGCUGCGGCCCUGCCUGAUGGAGCUGUGAGAAGUGGACCACCGUUCUCCAGACCCCAGAAUGGUAGAUCCACCGACAGCUUGCACCGUGUGCCUGGAAAAG
rnacentral:lncRNA from 1 species